GAUGAACGCUGGCGGCGUGCCUAACACAUGCAAGUCGAACGGAAAGGCGCUGCUUUUGCUGGUUUCUCGAGUGGCGCACGGGUGUGUAACACGUGAGUAUCCCGCCCUUGUCUUUGUGAUAUCUUCAGGAAACUGCGGCUAUUACCGGAUAGGAGCUCCUGCUGCAUGGUGGUCUUUGGAAAGUUUCGGCGGUUGUGGCUCGACUGGCGGGUUACCAGCUUGUUGGUGGGGUAGUGGCUUACCAAGGCUUCGACGGAUAGCCUGCAUGAGAGGGGGACCGGGGACAAGGGGACUAAGAGACGGCCCAGACUGGAACGGGAGGCAGCAGGGGAGAAUAUUGCACAGUGAGCGGGAGUGUGAGACAGAAGCGUCGGGAGCGGGAUGACGGCCUUCGGGGUGUAAACAGCUUUCGACUGUGACGAAGCGUGAGUGACGGUAAUGGGUAAAGAAGCACCGGCUAACUACGUG
rnacentral:rRNA from 1 species